CAAGUGAUUCUUCUUUGGAUAUCCACUUAUCUACUAAGCUACGUAGGCUCGACGAAUCAUCUAGUUGGGCCUGGCGACCAAGAAACCGCAGAUCUGCACCUGCUUCACAUUGUCGAAGCCCAAGACGCGCACGAAGCAUCCGGGGAAGGUCUUCUUGCACUCCUCAAUCUCCCUCAAUACCUGGGCGGGGUCCUGGCAUCCGAACAUGGGCAACUUCCACAUGGUCCAGUAGCGACCAUCGUAGUAUCCGGGGGAUGAGUUGUUGGUGCGGGACACGCCGUCGGCGUUCUGAACACAAGAAUGCAGCGAUUAGUAGAAUGCCAAUCGACAAAAAUUCAGAGAAAAUCAGGGAGGUAGGAUACCAAACGGAAUGGAGCUACAUGCAGCGUCGUACUAGAUGCCCUGAGGAAGUAUGGAUUGCAACGAGAAUAUAAGGAUCCAGUCAAGUAAUCAAUAAAAAAGGAGCUUUAACCAAUUACGGGGGCGACAGAGACAGGGGACUUACCACGUCGAACUCGAGGCAAGGGAUGAGCUUCUGCUGGAUCAUGUAGUCCACCUGCUUGGCGAUGGCGUCAUCGGACAAUGGGGGCAAGUAAGAGAAGGUCUCGAACUUCGUCAUGCCAAUGGGGUUCCACACCUGCAUGCACUGCACACGGCUGCCAUUCUGGACGGAGCUCAAGCUCUGGGCCUUGCUGGAGAACAAGGUGGAACUCUUGAGGCCGGAGAAGGCCUUCACGGAGGUCGACUCGGAGGUCGACACAGCCGAGGACGAAGCUGCGAAGGCAGCGGGGGCCACGACGGUGGAGGUGGCGACAACGGAAGCCAUUGCAAGCGCUUGGGGUACAAGCGCGGUACUACUGAAACGCUGGAUGGAGGGCAGGAAGACAAAUUGACUGUGGGAUGAGGGAAUGAUGCGGCGCAGGGAGAAUUUUGUAGCAGCAGCGAUGAGGUGCGG
rnacentral:lncRNA from 1 species